ensembl:lncRNA
CACAUCUUAAAUACCCCUUUAGUAACGAGACAUCCCAUAAUUCCUGCCAGCGGCUUUUCACCAGCCAGCCUGUGGGGUUACGCUUCAAACUGCACGCCGGAGCGCAGUGUAUAACUGUACGUUCAGCUAAAACGUGUCAUUAUCACCGGAACACACACACCCGCACACACACACACCCGCACACACACACAGCUGCAUUUAUAAAGGACAAUAAACAUGUUAUUAAUAAUCACUUUGUUGAUAGUCAUGUUAUUAAUAUUCUUGUUUUUAAUAAGCGUUUUAUUAACACUCGUUAAUAGUCAAGUAAUUAUUCAUCCCUGAUGGUUGUGUUUAUUUAUGUUUAAAUUGAUACGCCGCGUUAUGAUCGGUCACAUCACUGCGAGUGAUUUAUUAAUAGUAAAGUCAUUGAUAGCCGUGUUAUGAUAUGAAUAGUCACGUUCUCGAUAGUUACGUUCUUAACAGCCAUGUCCUUAAAGCUCAGGGUUUUAAUACUGUUAUUAAUACUCAUGUCAUUAAUAGUAACGUUUUAUUCAUAGUAAUGUUAUUGAUAGUCGUGUCUUUUAUGUACGUCGUUAGCAGUCACUUCACGUUAUCCAGUUCGCUGUGUUAUUAAUAAUCACGCUGUUAAUGGUCAUGGUAAUAGAAUAUUUCUGUUCUGGAACCGUGAUGAUGUUCUUACGAAAGAGUUCCAGAACUACUGUGUAGUUCUUGUUCAGGGGAGUUCUGGAACUGUGUAGUUCCUGUUCAGGCGAGUCCAGGAACUGUGUAGUUCCUGUUCAGUAACAGUGAAUUUCCUGUUCAGGAGAAUACUGUCACUGUUUAGUUCCUGUUGAGGUGAGUCUAGGAACUGUGUAGUUCCUGUUCUGUAACUGUGUAGUUCCUGUUCAGGAGAAUACUGUCACUGUGUAGUUCCUGUUGAGGUGAGUCUAGGAACUGUGUAGUUCCUGUUCUGUAACUGUGUAGUUCCUUUUGAGGUGAGUUCAGGAACUGUGUAGUUCCUGUUCUGUAACUGUGUAGUUCCUUUUGAGGUGAGUUCAGGAACUGUGUAGUUCCUGUUCUGUAACUGUGUAGUUCCUGUUCAGGAGAAUACGGUAACUGUGUAGUUCCUGUUGAGGCGAGUCUAGGAACUGUGUAGUUCCUGUUCUGUAACUGUGUAGUUCCUCUUGAGGCGAGUCCAGGAACUGUGUAGUUCCUCUUGAGGCAGUCCAGGAACUGUGUAGUUCCUUUUGAGGUGAGUUCAGGAACUGUGUAGUUCCUGUUCUGUAUCUGUGUAGUUCCUGUUCUGUAUCUGUGUAGUUCCUGUUCUGUAACUGUUUAGUUCCUGUUCUGUAUCUGUGUAGUUCCUGUUCUGUAACUGUGUAGUUCCUUUUGAGGUGAGUUCAGGAACUGUGUAGUUCCUGUUCUGUAACUGUGUAGUUCCUCUUGAGGCGAGUCCAGGAACUGUGUAGUUCCUUUUGAGGUGAUUUCAGGAACUGUGUAGUUCCUGUUCUGUAACUGUGUAGUUCCUGUUCUGUAACUGUGUAGUUCCUGUUCUGUAACUGUGUAGUUCCUGUUCUGUAUCUGUGUAGUUCCUGU